UAUUUUAGUGCCUUUUGCUGUCGAGUCAU
rnacentral:piRNA from 1 species